UGGGGAAUAUUGCACAAUGGGCGCAAGCCUGAUGCAGCCAUGCCGCGUGUGUGAAGAAGGCCUUCGGUUGUAAGCACUUUCAGCGAGGAGGAAGGUGGUGAGCUUAAUACGCUCAUCAAUUGACGUUACUCGCAGAAGAAGCACCGGCUAACUCCGUGCCAGCAGCCGCGGUAAUACGGAGGGUGCAAGCGUUAAUCGGAAUUACUGGGCGUAAAGCGCACGCAGGCGGUUUGUUAAGUCAGAUGUGAAAUCCCCGGGCUCAACCUGGGAACUGCAUUUGAAACUGGCAAGCUAGAGUCUCNUAGAGGGGGGUAGAAUUCCAGGUGUAGCGGUGAAAUGCGUAGAGAUCUGGAGGAAUACCGGUGGCGAAGGCGGCCCCCUGACGAAGACUGACGCUCAGGUGCGAAAGCGUGGGGCAGCAAACAGGAUUAGAUACCCUGGUAGUCCACGCUGUAAACGAUGUCGAUUUUGGAGGUUGUGCCCUUGAGGCGUGGCUUCCGGAGCUAACGCGUUAAAUCGACCGCCUGGGGAGUACGGCCGCAAGGUUAAAACUCAAAGGAAUUGACGGGGUCAUAGCUGUUUCCU
rnacentral:rRNA from 1 species